GAUAACCGUGGGGGGGGGCGCGUCUGCUGGCCAUUUCCGUAUCACCCCUCGGUCAAGGGCCUUUCUCAAUUCGGCUGUAACAAACUCACUGUGCUGAGUCGCGCUGCGAUGGUUAGGAAACUGCACGGCUCGCGGCCGGUCACCCGCCAUGAUAAAGUCUAGGUCACAAUCCGGCACCGCGACCCGCAGCAUUUCCCGCACUAUAGCUAGCUUGCAUCCCCGCUCCGGGGCUAGUUCUUGCCCUGGGUAGUCGCACGGCACCCACUCCAGCUGAAUUCCGCCCUGCAGGUAUCCCAGCCACCAUUUCUGUUUGUCCGUGAGGGGCUGGCCUUCGUUAGCUGCCUGAAAGAACACUCGCCACACUGCAACAUGUAGACGUAUCCUUCCUGGUUGGAAGUCUUCAGGAUCUGGGAGCAAACAGACGACCUCUUCGAGAAACUCCUGUUCAUCCCGCAGAUCUACCGCGUCCUGUUGCCCCAGCCGCUGCAACCUCUGCCAGGCUUCCUGUAGCAGCUGGAGUGCCUCCCUGCCCCCAGCGUUGCGGGCACUCGCUUCCCAGGCUGGUGCUAGUCCUACACCGCUGGAUUUCCGCCCUGUCGGCUGGUGACUCACCCACUGGUCGUCUUCGCAAGAGUCAUCUUCCAACGACAGCAACUCGGUCGGAUCCCUUCCGUCGCCAUCCUGAGUGUCUGGCGGGUAACCCACGUCAGGUUUCCUGUCAUCGUCCCUUGCCGUUCCCUGCGUGCUCUCAGUCGACCUGGUUAGCAUAGGCCUCUGGGCUUGGGUCUCCUAUAAACCGAAUAAUAACCGGUGGGGCGGGAAACAGGAUAAGAGGGUCUUGGAGCUUACACUUAGGUGUCCAAAAGGCAGAGCUGCCCUCUUCCAUACCAAGCUCCGCACCCUGCUGUCCCCAGCCCCUGAAAUGGCAGUCAUGAGCCGCCCGUCCAACACCUGGACCGCGGCAGGCUUUUAUUCCAGCCAUUCCCACCGACAGAACCGGCCCACCAGCAGCUACGAGACCAGAACAGUCGUGUCGGCAGCUGCAUGUGGUGCCUAUUCGAGGCACACACGGAGGCCAAUGUCGGGCGCGGGGCCACCGUGCGCUUCCGUGGCUACACCCAAGCAGUCAGCCAGCACUUCGUAAAGCGGAAUGCAGGCAAGAGCCUGAAGGUCGGCGCCCGGGCUCUCAAGAAGACCCAUCGGCAUUUCGUCAGCGCGGGCAGUGUCAUGCAGGCGAUGUACAGGAUGCUCCACCUUGGGACUCCACACAAGAUCACGCAGAAGCAGUUCGAUGAGGCGGCGCUCCAGACUGGGUGCAAGGGCCUGACUGCCUUUGCGGCCACUGCCGUACGUCGACCUGUCGUGCCUCUUCACCGUCUCNNNNNNNNNNNNNNNNNNNNNNNNNNNNNNNNNNNNNNNNNNNNNNNNNNCACACACGGGGUUCGCUAAUAGCCGAGAAAGCAAAUACGACCAGGGGCUUGCCUGGAAAAAACACCUUCGUCUGUCAGAGAGUUUGCUACUCUACCUAUGUAAUGUACUUCUUCUAGUUACACGGUUGCUCGCCACACUGCCCCCCUCCACCCAUGCAGCAAGAGCUACCGCAUGGAGGACUGGCUGCACUUCGUUGAGACGUUCUCCAGCUACAUCUUCAAGGGGGACGUGCUGCCCGAGGCCUUGCGGGCCCUGUGUUGGAGCCUGUGCAGCACGGUCACGCACUACUUCUGGCCGCGGCCCCGCGACGAGACCCGUGAGCAGUUCCUGGUGGCAGCCAAGGCGGCUGCAUGCAAGCUCAGAGCUUACACGACCAGGCUGGAGGAGUUGGAGGUGCCGGGCUACAUGUUCACGGUCAACCUGCAUAUCUGCGUAUGCUGGCUGUACUCCGACCUGCCGGUGGAACGCAUGAUGCAGCAAAUGAAGACGCAAGGCGGAAGGAUGGUGUCACAGGCACCCGAGAAGCACUACGCGCAGUGGCUGUGCCUGAUGCGGGCCUCCGAGUCGCUCACCGAGGCAGACCCCGGGACCGGGGCCAAACACACGACCAACCAGCAGCUUGAGAGGAUGUUGGCACGGUGCGCAGUGAACACCGAGGCUGCCUGGUUUGAUAAACCAGGAGCCAACGGUUACCUGCUUGGACGAGGCCACAUGGUCUACCCGAGUCCAGAACGAGUGGCACAAGUCCGGGCAGCCAUGGCGAGCCUAGUGCACUGGUAUGCCCUGGCAUUCAAGGAUGUGGCUUCCUGGACAUUGGGUCCCAGUGCGAGCUACGAACUGGACACGGACCGCCUGGAUAGGGUUCUCAUGUCUACACCACCUGACUGUCCCAAGGCCCGCUCCUNNNNNNNNNNNNNNNNNNNNNNNNNNNNNNNNNNNNNNNNNNNNNNNNNNUUCGUACUUCACAGGCCGGUACUUCAAGAAACAGUUAAUAUACAUCGGAUUAAUACAGAGGCGCAGCUUGCCGUCUUUUUCCACUACCCGCAAGCCAUUGAUAACCGUGGGGGGGGGCGCGUCUGCUGGCCAUUUCCGUAUCACCCCUCGGUCAAGGGCCUUUCUCAAUUCGGCUGUAACAAACUCACUGUGCUGAGUCGCGCUGCGAUGGUUAGGAAACUGCACGGCUCGCGGCCGGUCACCCGCCAUGAUAAAGUCUAGGUCACAAUCCGGCACCGCGACCCGCAGCAUUUCCCGCACUAUAGCUAGCUUGCAUCCCCGCUCCGGGGCUAGUUCUUGCCCUGGGUAGUCGCACGGCACCCACUCCAGCUGAAUUCCGCCCUGCAGGUAUCCCAGCCACCAUUUCUGUUUGUCCGUGAGGGGCCGGCCUUCGUUAGCUGCCUGAAAGAACACUCGCCACACUGCAACAUGUAGACGUAUCCUUCCUGGUUGGAAGUCUUCAGGAUCUGGGAGCAAACAGACGACCUCUUCGAGAAACUCCUGUUCAUCCCGCAGAUCUACCGCGUCCUGUUGCCCCAGCCGCUGCAACCUCUGCCAGGCUUCCUGUAGCAGCUGGAGUGCCUCCCUGCCCCCAGCGUUGCGGGCACUCGCUUCCCAGGCUGGUGCUAGUCCUACACCGCUGGAUUUCCGCCCUGUCGGCUGGUGACUCACCCACUGGUCGUCUUCGCAAGAGUCAUCUUCCAACGACAGCAACUCGGUCGGAUCCCUUCCGUCGCCAUCCUGAGUGUCUGCCGGGUAACCCACGUCAGGUUUCCUGUCAUCGUCCCUUGCCAUUCCCUGCGUGCUCUCAGUCGACCUGGUUAGCAUAGGCCUCUGGGCUUGGGUCUCCUAUAAACCGAAUAAUAACCGGUGGGGCGGGAAACAGGAUAAGAGGGUCUUGGAGCUUACACUUAGGUGUCCAAAAGGCAGAGCUGCCCUCUUCCAUACCAAGCUCCGCACCCUGCUGUCCCCAGCCCCUGAAAUGGCAGUCAUGAGCCGCCCGUCCAAC
rnacentral:lncRNA from 1 species